rnacentral:rRNA from 1 species
AUUGAACGCUGGCGGCAGGCCUAACACAUGCAAGUCGAACGGUAACAGGAAGAAGCUUGCUUCUUUGCUGACGAGUGGCGGACGGGUGAGUAAUGUCUGGGAAACUGCCUGAUGGAGGGGGAUAACUACUGGAAACGGUAGCUAAUACCGCAUAACGUCGCAAGACCAAAAAGGGGGACCUUCGGGCCUCUUGCCAUCGGAUGUGCCCAGAUGGGAUUAGCUAGUAGGUGGGGUAACGGCUCACCUAGGCGACGAUCCCUAGCUGGUCUGAGAGGAUGACCAGCCACACUGGAACUGAGACACGGUCCAGACUCCUACGGGAGGCAGCAGUGGGGAAUAUUGCACAAUGGGCGCUAGCCUGAUGCAGCCAUGCCGCGUGUAUGAAGAAGGCCUUCGGGUUGUAAAGUACUUUCAGCGGGGAGGAAGGGAGUAAAGUUAAUACCUUUGCUCAUUGACGUUACCCGCAGAAGAAGCACCGGCUAACUCCGUG